UAUGAAGGGGGCUAGCGUUGCUCGGAAUUACUGGGCGUAAAGGGCGCGUAGGCGGUUCGUACAGUCAGACGUGAAAUUCCUGGGCUCAACCUGGGGGCUGCGUUUGAUACGUGCGGACUUGAGUGCGGAAGAGGGUCGUGGAAUUCCCAGUGUAGAGGUGAAAUUCGUAGAUAUUGGGAAGAACACCGGUGGCGAAGGCGGCGACCUGGUCCGAUACUGACGCUGAGGCGCGAAAGCGUGGGGAGCAAACAGG
rnacentral:rRNA from 1 species